CAGGUGGUCAGGUAGAGAAUACCAAGGCGCUUGAGAGAACUCGGGUGAAGGAACUAGGCAAAAUGGUGCCGUAACUUCGGGAGAAGGCACGCUGGUGUGUAGGUGAAGUCCCUGCGGAUGGAGCUGAGACCAGUCGAAGAUACCAGCUGGCUGCAACUGUUUAUUAAAAACACAGCACUGUGCAAACACGAAAGUGGACGUAUACGGUGUGACGCCUGCCCGGUGCCGGAAGGUUAAUUGAUGGGGUUAUCCGUAAGGAGAAGCUCUUGAUCGAAGCCCCGGUAAACGGCGGCCGUAACUAUAACGGUCCUAAGGUAGCGAAAUUCCUUGUCGGGUAAGUUCCGACCUGCACGAAUGGCGUAAUGAUGGCCAGGCUGUCUCCACCCGAGACUCAGUGAAAUUGAACUCGCUGUGAAGAUGCAGUGUACCCGCGGCAAGACGGAAAGACCCCGUGAACCUUUACUAUAGCUUGACACUGAACAUUGAGCCUUGAUGUGUAGGAUAGGUGGGAGGCUUUGAAGCGUGGACGCCAGUCUGCGUGGAGCCAACCUUGAAAUACCACCCUUUAAUGUUUGAUGUUCUAACGUUGGCCCCUUACCGGGGUUGCGGACAGUGUCUGGUGGGUAGUUUGACUGGGGCGGUCUCCUCCCAAAGCGUAACGGAGGAGCACGAAGGUUAGCUAAUCCUGGUCGGACAUCAGGAGGUUAGUGCAAUGGCAUAAGCUAGCUUGACUGCGAGCGUGACGGCGCGAGCAGGUGCGAAAGCAGGUCAUAGUGAUCCGGUGGUUCUGAAUGGAAGGGCCAUCGCUCAACGGAUAAAAGGUACUCCGGGGAUAACAGGCUGAUACCGCCCAAGAGUUCAUAUCGACGGCGGUGUUUGGCACCUCGAUGUCGGCUCAUCACAUCCUGGGGCUGAAGUAGGUCCCAAGGGUAUGGCUGUUCGCCAUUUAAAGUGGUACGCGAGCUGGGUUUAGAACGUCGUGAGACAGUUCGGUCCCUAUCUGCCGUGGGCGCUGGAGAAUUGAGGGGGGCUGCUCCUAGUACGAGAGGACCGGAGUGGACGCAUCACUGGUGUUCGGGUUGUCAUGCCAAUGGCACUGCCCGGUAGCUAAAUGCGGAAGAGAUAAGUGCUGAAAGCAUCUAAGCACGAAACUUGCCCCGAGAUGAGUUCUCCCUGAGACUUUAAGUCUCCUGAAGGAACGUUGAAGACGA
rnacentral:rRNA from 1 species